rnacentral:rRNA from 1 species
UACGGAGGGUGCAAGCGUUGCUCGGAAUCAUUGGGCGUAAAGCGUACGCAGGCUGUUCGUUAAGUCGGGUGUGAAAGCCCGGGGCUCAACCCCGGAACUGCGCCCGAAACUGGCGAGCUUGAGUGCGGGAGAGGGAAGCGGAAUUCCUGGUGUAGAGGUGAAAUUCGUAGAUAUCAGGAGGAACACCGGUGGCGAAAGCGGCUUCCUGGCCCGACACUGACGCUCAUGUACGAAAGCGUGGGGAGCAAACAGG